rnacentral:rRNA from 1 species
CCCGCCAGAAUGCUGGCGGGCGCAAUGUGCGUUCAAAGAUUCGAUGAUUCACUGAAUUCUGCAAUUCACAUUACUUAUCGCAUUUCGCUGCGUUCUUCAUCGAUGCCAGAACCAAGAGAUCCGUUGUUGAAAGUUUUGAUUCAUUUGUUUUGCCUUG